rnacentral:rRNA from 1 species
AGGACGAACGUUGGCGGUGUGCUUCACACAUGCAAGUCGAACGGAGUAGUAGCAAUACUACUUAGUGGCGGACGGGUGAGUAACACGUGGGAAUCUACCUAUAAGUGGGGAAUAACUGACCGAAAGGUUAGCUAAUACCGCAUACGUCGAAAGAUAAAAGGAGCAAUUCGCUUGUAGAUGAGCCCGCGGCCGAUUAGCUAGUUGGUAAGGUAAAAGCUUACCAAGGCGACGAUCGGUAGCUGGUCUGAGAGGACGAUCAGCCACAAUGGAACUGAGACACGGCCCAGACUCCUACGGGAGGCAGCAGUGGGGAAUAUUGCGCAAUGGGCGAAAGCCUGACGCAGCGACGCCGCGUGGGGGAUGAAUGCCUUCGGGUUGUAAACCCCUUUCAGCAGGGACGAAGCGAAAGUGACGGUACCUGCAGAAGAAGCGCCGGCUAACUACGUGCCAGCAGCCGC